rnacentral:rRNA from 1 species
UUCCAUGCUCCCAAGAAAAUCUUCUAACCAGAUAAAACUUAACCGUACCUCAAUCCAACACAGGUAGACAGGGUGAUAGACUCCUAAGGUGAGCGAAAGAACUCUCGUUAAGGAACUCGGCAAAAAGGCCCCGUAACUUUGGGAGAAGGGGUGCCUAACCAUUACUAAUUAAGCAAUUAAUUAGUAAUGUAGUAGGUUGCAAGAAAUAGGCUCGGGGGACUGUUUAACAAAAACACAGGUUUCUGCUAAGCCGUAAGGCGAUGUAUAGGAGCCGACGCUUGCCCAGUGCUGGAAGGUUACGAGGAGAGGUUAGGGAGGAGCAAUCUUCCCGAAGCUUUGAAUCUAAGCCCCAGUGAACGGCGGCCGUAACUAUAACGGUCCUAAGGUAGCGAAAUACCUUGUCGGGCAAGUUCCGACGCGCAUGAAAAGCGUAACUACCUGAGCGCUGUCUCGACGAGAGAUUCGGUGAAAUAGCAGUUCCCGUGAAGAUGCGGGAUACUUGCGGCAGGACGGGAAGACCCCGUAGAGCUUUACUAUAACCUGGCAUUGAAUUCUGGCAUUUUAUGUACAGGAUAGGUGGGAGACUGGGAAGAAGGAUCGCCAGGUCCUUUGGAGUCGCCCUUGGGAUACCACCCUUAAAAUGUUAGUGUUCUAACGUUUAGCUUUGAGUCAAGCAAAUGGACAGUGUCAGGCGGGUAGUUUGACUGGGGCGGUCGCCUCCUAAAAAGUAACGGAGGCGCACAAAGGUUCCCUCAGCGUGUUUGGAAAUCACGCGUAGAGUGUAAAGGCAUAAGGGAGCUUAACUGCAUAGACUUACAGGUCAAGCAGGUGCGAAAGCAGGUCUUAAUGAUCCGGUGAUACCAUAUGGAAGGGUCAUCGCUCAACGAAUAAAAGCUACCUCGGGGAUAACAGGCUUAUCCUUCCCAAGAGUUCACAUCGACGGGAGGGCUUGGCACCUCGAUGUCGGCUCGUCGCAUCCUGGAGCUGAAGCAGGUUCCAAGGGUUGGGCUGUUCGCCCAUUAAAGCGGCACGCGAGCUGGGUUCAGAACGUCGUGAGACAGUUCGGUCCUUAUCCGCCGCAAGCGCAGGAUAUUUGAGAGGGUUCACUCUUAGUACGAGAGGAUCAGAGUGACUGGACCUCCAGUGUACCUGUUAUCACACCAGUGAUACGCGCAGGGUAGCUGUGUCCUAAGGAAUAAGCACUGAAAGCAUCUAAGUGCGAAGUCUCCCUCAAGAUUAGAUAUCCCACUCCAAUAAGGAGGUAAGAUCACUGGUAGACUACCAGUUUGAUAGGCUGGAGCUGUAAGAGCUGAGAGGCUUUAAGGUGACCAGUACUAAUAGAUCGAGGUUUUUCC